rnacentral:rRNA from 1 species
CACGUAGGGGACGAGCGUUGUCCGGAUUCAUUGGGCGUAAAGCGCGCGUAGGCGGUCCGGAAAGUCGGAUGUGAAAACCCGGGGCUCAACCCCGGGCCUGCACCCGAUACUUCCGGGCUGGAGGCAGGUAGGGGAGAUCGGAAUUCCUGGUGUAGCGGUGAAAUGCGCAGAUAUCAGGAGGAACACCGGUGGCGAAGGCGGAUCUCUGGGCCUUGCCUGACGCUGAGGCGCGAAAGCUAGGGGAGCGAACAGGAUUAGAAACCCCCGUAGUCC